rnacentral:rRNA from 1 species
UGGGGAAUUUUGGACAAUGGGCGAAAGCCUGAUCCAGCAAUGCCGCGUGUGUGAAGAAGGCCUUCGGGUUGUAAAGCACUUUUGUCCGGAAAGAAAUCCUUGGCUCUAAUACAGUCGGGGGAUGACGGUACCGGAAGAAUAAGCACCGGCUAACUACGUGCCAGCAGCCGCGGUAAUACGUAGGGUGCAAGCGUUAAUCGGAAUUACUGGGCGUAAAGCGUGCGCAGGCGGUUUGCUAAGACCGAUGUGAAAUCCCCGGGCUCAACCUGGGAACUGCAUUGGUGACUGGCAGGCUAGAGUAUGGCAGAGGGGGGUAGAAUUCCACGUGUAGCAGUGAAAUGCGUAGAGAUGUGGAGGAAUACCGAUGGCGAAGGCAGCCCCCUGGGCCAAUACUGACGCUCAUGCACGAAAGCGUGGGGAGCAAACAGGAUUAGAUACCCUGGUAGUCCACGCCCUAAAACGAUGUCAACUAGUUGUUGGGGAUUCAUUUCCUUAGUAACGUAGCUAACGCGUGAAGUUGACCGCCUGGGGAGUACGGUCGCAAGAUUAAAACUCAAAGGAAUUGACGGGGUCAUA